UGUGAUGAAGGUUGAUAAGUGCUUGGUCAGU
rnacentral:piRNA from 1 species